UCCUCAAGCCUAAAGGAAUUAUCAAGUUCCUUUGUGAACAUGAGCAUGUAAUAGUUGAUGAUAUUAACUACGAGAUGCUGAUGCAGUUGAAACAAAUGCUUGCAGUGUUUACAUAGCGAGUCUUACCAGAAACUGCGCCAGGAAGGAGCGCAUACGACAGUUAACAAUGCUAGCUGCAAGACCUGCGUGUGAGCGCACGAUAGUCUGUUUGCGCAGAACACCGGUCUUUGCCAAAACCAACUCAAUUUGCUCCAUCAGCACGCUGCUCUCCUCAUCACAGCCACCAUGUUCCCAUCAUGUUGUGCUGGUUCUCCCCAAGUUACUCUGCUUAGCUAGUUUGAUUAUUACAUUAUUCUUACUUCCUCAUCCUUGGUAAAGAUAGCACCAGUCAAAUGUUCAGACUCUUACUACAGAAAAUCUCAAAAUAUUUGUUGUCUUUUCCUAUGAAGUUACACUUGAAUUAUAUAAAAUAAAUAUGUAUAUCA